rnacentral:lncRNA from 1 species
AAAACUAAACAUGAUCAAGACAUCUACAUAUUCGAUAAUUUCUCAUAAAAACAACUGAAACCGUCAAAUUUCAAGGUAGUAAUACAAUAUUAUUACCUACUGUUAUAACAUCUAGAUCAUUGCCAAUUAACAAUUACAUCAUAUUCGAGUCAUGUACUUGGAAGUUAUAUUUGUGCUGAGAUGAUUCGAAUAAAACAAACAAACUUACUUAAUAGUUCACAUCCACCUGAAAUACAAUUCAGAUGACAGACUUUUUUAGCAAUUUAUAAUCACGAUUUCAAGUAACUAACAUGAAUGUCAUUAAUAGAAAGCUUAUGGAAAAAAAUUAUUGGUAAGGUGACGUCCAAGUUGCAGAGAGGGAUGCAUUUACAGUAAGGGGAUUCUAUGUAAUUGCUAAACGUGAAAUUUUGUUAGAAAUGAUUUAAGUCGUUGUCAAAAUGAAAUAACAGUUCUCAUGUACUAAUUCUUUUAUUCAGUAUUGACAAUGGAACAUCUAAAUGAUUAGGAUAUAUAAAUAUAUUACCAGUGGCCUUAGUCAAUAGUAAAAUAGUAGGCAAAACAGAGGAAUCGAUUCAAUAAAUCACAAUUAAAGUAUUAAAAUCGAUAGAUCACCAACACGACUUAGCAAACACAGAUUAAUAAACAUGAUAAAAAGAAAAAGAAAGUGUUGAAAUCUCAAAGGAGAUCAACAGAUAACAACAAUACACACACAGAGAACAAGAAUUAGAUACAUACCUAUACCUAUAGAGACAGAAACCGAGGAAACAACAUAACGCUUAGAUUUUGGAGGGGAGUGAUUCACGUACCUGGAUACUACAAUUUAGGACAUCGUUGUUAUGUGGAAUAGGC